rnacentral:tRNA from 1 species
GGGGCCGUGCCGGAGCGGUCGAACGGAGCGCACUGUUAAUGCGCCAGCCAUGGAUAGUCAUGGCUCACGCUGGUUCGAAUCCAGUCGGCCCCGCCU